rnacentral:rRNA from 1 species
UGGUACACAGCUGUUGCAUGGCUGUCGUCAGCUCGUGACGUGAGUUGUUCUCUUAAGUGAGGUAACGAGCGCAACCCCCGUUCUGUGUUAUUGUGUCACAGAAGACUGCCUAGCAUUAUUUUGUUAGGAGGAAGGAGGGGACGACGUCAAGUCAUCAUGAUGCUUAUAUCCAGGGCUACACACAUCCUACAAUGGGCUAUAACAGAGGGUUGCAAGACCGCAAGGUGGAGCUAAUCCCUAAACUAGCCCUCAGUUGGGAUUGCAGGCUGAAACUCGCCUGCAUGAACCCGGAAUUGGUAGUAAUCGCACAUCAGCAGCGUGCGGUGAAUACGUUCUCGCCUCUU